CGCCUCUCCCUCCUUCCCUCGCCGCGUCUCUGCGCCUUUCCUCCCCCCCUCCCGCUCUCCCUUCCCUUCCCUCACCCUUUCGUCCUGUCCCUCCUUCUCGUUCCCUCUCCCUCUUUCUCCCCUUCUCCCUCAUUCUGUCCCUCCCCUUUCUCCGUUCCGCUCUCCUCUCCCGCUGCCGGGUUUUCCUUUGUCCGAGGCGGCCGGGCGGGCGGAGCGCUUUGUAUCCUUGGGGAAUGGUGCCGGCACGGGCUGAGCCGCGGGGCAGCGCCUGUCGUGGUUUGUUCCCGUACACCACGGACGUGCUGUUAGGGCAGCUUCAGCACUCGCAUAUCACUGUGGGUUUGUCCUGCUCAGUGGGUUGCAAACCAAAGGGUAACCCUGGAUAUGGAAACUGCCACACCAGACAAAGGCAGCCUGGCUAGUUUCCUUAUGGACAGUGACUUCAUUUACCUGCUAGUGAUUCUACAAGAUAUCAUGUACAUGGUACUGAAUCUCCAGUGUGAGGGUCCAGUGGAAGUUAAUCAGUGAUAUUUCCUGUGAAUUCUCCUUCAGAUGAGUGUUGUCUCUUUUUGUCAUUUACUUUGCUAUUAUAUUAUAACAAUUGAAUAUUUCGUGCUUUUUAUAAAACUUUAAUAUUGAUAAAUAUACUGUAUUUAUAUAUACACUGUAUGCUACACCUCAUUUAAAUCAGCUAAAUGCUGCUAACACCCUAUUGCACACCCUUGGCUCUUGCAGACACCCCAUUGCACGCCCUUGGUUGUUGCAGUCUUUCAGCAGUGCCAUCUCUUCUGCAAUAUCUAAGUCCAGGUUCUGAUCUGGUUGGAAUCACGCUAAUUUGCACUGAACUCACCAAAUUACAGAACAGCUUUGAACUGUUAACUUUAUUAAUUAGAUUGGUGAUUUUACUGUAUAAAUCUGUGCUAGUGAUAACUAUUUGGCUGGACUGAAGAAAUUAUUAUGGACCAAAUGCAGCUGUAGCAAAUGACUGUGAAGACCUUGCCUUAUGUGCAGCUUCAGUAUGUUUUCCUUGGUCUGCUGGGUGUAUCAGAAUACUUUCUGAAAUAACACAGUUCUCAGCAGGAAUUACCAAGAGUAAAUGCUGGCCUGAAAGCAAAAGCUUUAGGCAGAGCAAACCAACAUGGCAGCCUGGAAGCCUCUCCAUGGAGUCGUUUUUAUUCUAUCCAGAUGCUGUCUAGCUGGCCAUAGUGGCAACAUUCUUGUAUCAAAAUAUCCUAACAUGCAGAUAUUCUUUUUAUUGACCAAUCUUUCUGACAGGUACAGACAUUUCAGGGAGAAAAGAUAUAUCUUGUUUAGUCAUGGUGUUGCCAUUCUGAAGAUGUUUCUGAAAUUAGACCUAGGAAGUUGUAUGAAGCAUCUUACAAGGAAGCUUAAACCACAGCCAUUAUUUAUAUCAACAUAAAGUAGUGGUGUAACCCCAAAGGAAUGGCAAUGUGUUAUUUUAAGCAACCAGACAGGACAUGAGAGGCUGUCUGAUAUCACACAUUGGCAUAAAAGUUGGUGCUGAAGAUAUUUAGCCAUACCAGGUUUUGACAUGAUGGAUAGUACCAUGUCUAAAAUGUGUUAUCUUUUUUUGAAACACACAUAAUUUUCUCCCUGCUUGGGGAAUAAUUGUCUGCUAAUUAAAUUAAUGGCCAAACUUGCAAUCCACCUUGACUUUCAAGCAUUUGAGAAGCUGAGGAAUAUCAGCAGUUUGGAUACCAGCCUGCAUUACGGUAGAGUGGGUUUGGUUCAUCCGCUACUUGAGGUUUCUUAUGUUGUCCCAGACAUACUGGUCCAGACCUACAAAGACUCUUUCUCACAUUUGUAGCAGCUGAAACCCUCUUUAAAUAGCAGUUACCUCCUUAAAACCUACAGUGAAUCUGCACCUAGGUCCAUAUUCAUUGCAAAAAUAAUCUGGGAGCUCUGCUGGGAAUUCCAUUGUUCCACAAGGUUUGUGAGGUUUAGUAUAAUAUAUGUAAAGUCCUGAGCUACCACCAAGGACACAGAAACAGAAAUACAUAAACAAAAGCUUACAAGUUUCUAUAAUACAUCACCCAUGUAAACAUCUUUGAUACUAAAACUGGAAUAUAUUCAUAUCAAAAGGCAUAUAACCACUGGAAUAAAAAACCAAACAAGCCAGACAAAACCCCAAAAGUACAAGCUAUAAAACUUUUGAAAAAUGCUUUGGGUUUUUUUUCCUCAAUGAAAUUGUAGGAAAAUAAAGCCCUGUGUGUGGAUAAGAGCCAUUUGGCUCAAAUAACCCCAACAUUUGGUGCUAUAAGCAAAUUCGAAUUGAAAUAAUUCUAGGCUGUUGCGAUACAUAGUUAUGCAGAACAAUUGUUCUUUGCUUUCUGUAUGUGUAUCAUGACAUGAUUUUUUUCCACACAUUUCACACAUUUAUUAAUGUAUUUUCUUAGCUUAAUGCAAUGUAUCGUUUGCAUUCAAGUUACAUAAAUCAUAACCUAAACAAUUACUUGUUCACCUGUAUGUCAGAAUCAAGCAGGGGUACUUUUCACUAUUAAAAAUAGUGCAAAUCUAUUUUUCUGAUUUUCUGAUUUUUUUUUCAGCAUGUGAACUUGAGCUUGUGGAUUCCUGCUCUCACACCAGGUGAUAUCUAUUUUCCAAAGGACAAAGCACUGUUUUCAGCCUUUUGUUGGACUUCAGCAAAGCAUUCAAUGUGUUUUCCUUCGUCUUUCUCCUGCACAAAGUGGCAAGUGGCUGCACGGGUGGUCUGUGAGAUGGGUAUGAAAUUGGCUGAGAGGUGGCACUCAAAGGGUAGUGAUCAAUGGUUUGUACUCAGGCUGAAAGCCUGCCACAAGUAGAAUUCCCCAGGGAUGAAAACAGGACCCCAUACUAUUCAACAUCUUCGUAACUUAGCUGGAUGAUGGUGCUGAAAGCAGCCUCACCAAGUUUGCUAGUGACACCAGCCUGGGUGGUUGAGAUGGGUGCGUCAGAAGAGAAAACCCUCUCACACAGAGUCCAAAGGAGGACCACAAAGAUGAUCAAAGGGCUGGAGAGCCUGCACAGCAAGGAAAGACUGAAGCAGUCAGGUCUCUUUUCCUUGGAGAAAAGAAGGCCUGGGGGGCAUCAUCACAGUAUUCCAGUAACUACUGCACCAGGAGAGGUUUCAUCUCUGUAUAAGAAGGAAAUUUUUUACGAUGAUACCCAUCAUUCACUGGAGCAACUUCCCCUGUGCUGGAACCCCCACCACUGGAGAUUUUCAAGAUGCCAUUGGACACGGUGCUAGAUAAUCCCAUCAAGGCUCCCUUUCAUCGUGAUGUUGGGCCAGGCAAUAUUUUGAGGUCACUUCCAAUGUGGGAUGUUUUGUGAUUCUAUUAUUGUUUAAAAGCCUACUUUCUUUUAAAUAAAAGCAAACUUUUUAGUCUUAGAUUUUGGAGUGUCUUGAAAUGUUAAAAAUAAUGUGGUAAGAGCCUUGGAAGGCAAAUAAAAGCAGCUGAAAAUGAAUUGUUGUAAAGCAAAUCUGAAACUUUUUACAAGCCAACCCUCUAUAUUUGAGGAAUCAGUUCAGAAUUUGUAAAGGCAUGGAGCAUUCAAUAUUGUGGAAAGCCUCUCUUUGGUGCAGUUGGUAUUAAUGCUUAUUGAGUGGAUAACUGAACUGGUACCCCAAGUGGCUUGCUAAGCUACCCCCUAAAUUCUAGAGUUUAUGUUCCAUGGCACCAGAAGAAAUUUUGCUUCCCUUCUUCAGAAAUGCAUGUACAUAUCCAGCCUUCUGCUGUCAGUUUCAUUAUCUCCUAUUAUAUUUCUAAUAUUCUACUGUAGUUCUAAUUAUGGAAUCUUAUUAAUUUUAAAAUAAUUUUUCAAAUGUUCAGAUUCUUUAAGAAAUCACAGUUUUCUGUUCUGAAUUGUUACCUUUGUCAAUGCAUCUCAGCUUUCAUUGGACAUAAAAUACCUACACAUUUCAGUUUCUGAGGAAAUGCUUGAAAAUAUGGCUGGAGCACACUCUAGAGGCUCAAAAUUUCAACGGCAGAUAAAUUAUCCCAAAUUUAUUUGUACAGCAGAUAUCAUUAUUUUGAAGCAAAUCUCAUGAUUUUUAAAGUAUUUUUUUCAUUUCUAUUGAAAAUUAGAAGCAAGAUUUGUGAAGAUUAUGGGUUUCUUUAUCUCCCAUUCCUCCAGAGAAAUAUAUUUUAUUAUUACUCUUAAUCUGCUGACAGGGAGCUGGGUUUUCUAUGUUCUGCUAAGUCUUAUAUCUAGGUCAAAGAUGGAUGACAUUCUGCCAGUUCAUAGAGGUGCUGAUAUUAUUUCUGUCAGGUUUUGCAAACUAGGAAAAUUUAACUUGCUAGAUUAAAAAAAAAAAAAAAAAAGUGUCCUGAAAAGCAAAAAUGCUGCACUUAAUAGAAUUGUUUGGAGGACCAAGAUACAAGUAUACAUAAGUUUAAAAAUUCUAAACAGGUCUGUGGAUAUAAUAAGGUUGUAUAGAAUUUAUUAUGCCACUUGAAAAAGGUCACUACCCUACAUGGUAGACUUUGUGUUCUGUGCUAUUUUACAUCAUGUUACAUGACUGGAAAGCUUGCAUGAAAGCUAGGCAGAGCAAGCUUCCUAAAAGUCCUGAUUUAUGUGUUGUUUCAAAUAAUCCACUUGCCUAUGCAUCUUCACUUUGCAGUUAUUUUUUAUCUGUAUAAUAUUUCCAAUCAAAUGUGAAGCUCUUGAAGUGUAGCAGAAGGAUUAGUGCAUUUUUUGGAUUGCUGACACUUUAGGACCAUAUUUAGUAACAGGUUCAUGUUACUCUCUUGAAGGAUGGUGCUGAAUGUCCAGUUGAGUGACCCAGACAGCUGAAUGCUGCCACUAUAUCUGAGCAGCAAUUUGUGAAGUCCUUCAUGGUGUUUCUAACCUGUUAAAUAGGCAGCUAUGAACACUGUCAAAUUUUUGUUAUUAUUUCCAGCUAUUUGUUUAACAUACAUGUUGCCUGCUUGGAUUGUGUUGAUUGUAUACUAUUUUAUGCUGACACCCUAGAGCCUCAAUGGUGAAUCAAACUCGGGCAUCCCUGUCAGGGUGUGGAGCCCACACACAGUAGUCACAAGACCUUUCUUUUUUUAACCUGCAGUUGCUGUCUCUGUUCCCACUUCUCUGGCUGGUCAUUGCUUCAUUACACAGAAAAUGUACCCUCCAGUCCUCUGUCCUACAUUGGCCUUGCUGCUUAUUUGAAGAAUUUGGGGCAGGUUCAGGCAUAACCAGUAGCAGCCCUCCUGGGCACAGGUUCCAGGGAUGUGCCACAGAGGAGCUGACCUGGCAUGGAGCCACUUGGCACACUCUUGCUAUGAAGACUCUGCAAGUGCUCAAGACCUGGGGCUGUGGUCAGGGCAGCUGAGGGAUGUGCUGAUUCACCAUGUCCAUGCUGGAGCACGGAUUCCCAAUCUGUAACCCGUGAGCUAACAUUUACCUUUGGAACAGGUGGCUGGGGGUUAUUUUCUCUAGUUGGUUUACACUUUGGAAAUGGCCUGAAUGACUCUCCAGGCCUGUGAACUGCUGUGACUGUAGUUACCAAUCUCUGGCAGAAACCACACAGCUGAAAAUCAGGGAUAAAAGAGCAGCGAUAAACUGGAAAAAGCAUCUGAGCAAAUCUUGUCCCUAAAAGGUAUGGACUACUACGAAAAAAAAAUUUUUUUUUUGCAAAAAUUUCUCAGGAUUCUGGAUUACAAUUUGAGAAAGCCAAAGUAUUUUCACUUGAAAACUCAAGGAAAAAUAUAAAAACUUCUAUUAUUUUUUGUUAAAAAGGAGAAUUCAAGGCAAAUUUGUACAUGGUCGAUGUCACACUUUUCUAUCAGAAGAUAGUUCUGCUAAUCUUACUGGACAGUUUUCAAAAGCAGACCAAAGAACAAGUUUUUCUGCCAACCAAAGCAUACAAUUUCUUUUAAAAAAAGAUUAAAAUUGUUUUUAAGUGGCCAUGGCAUUCAUUUGCAUUUGAUCCUUUUCAGCAUUCUGCAUCCCUUAAAAUCCUGAGUUUGUCUGAACUCUGGUUACAGAAAUGGUGUGGGCAGUACAAACUACCAAUUUCUAUGUGCAUGUGUAGUCAAAUUCCUCUGGGCAGAAAAGCUUAUAUUUCAACAUUACUACCAGUAUGAAAAAAAGAAAAGGAGAAACAAACUCACAGAGAAUAAAUAAAGUGUAUACAGAGGAGGGAGAGAACACCAAGAAAGAGAGUAGGAAAUACACCAUGUGACUGGAGUCAGAGCAGGAAUGAUUAUUCUUGGGGUUUGACCCACAGGCCUGGCAUUUGAGCUUGAGCCUUCUCUUCAGUUCCUGAUUUUGGUGCCCAGCACUGAUGCCAGGAAAGACAUCUAAGACAGUUUAUAUAUACCCUAUAUACCAUGCUACUUUCCAGCUAAAUAAAAUUAAUUCAUGGUGAUACAUAAGACAGGGUAUUCUUAAGGAAGACAUCAUCCACACAUGUUCUUUCAGUGAGUUUGCUAUGAUUCUAUGGCUCUUAUGUUUUCAAAAAUUGUUCCUGAUUGUGCAAAUGCAAAUAAUGUUUUCUUCUUGCACUACUUUAUGUGUGCAAACAGUACUGCCAUAUGUUUAGCUAAAGGCUAGGGAAAAGUCAAUGUGGAACAGACUUGUUUCUUAUCUGGAAGUUUAAAAUGUGUAUUGUCAUACCACUUACAGUAAGUCUUGAGAAAGAUUAUUCUCUUUAUCAAUCUUAUUUUAACAAUUACAAAAUCAGUAGGUUUAUUUGAUUGGUAGUAAUGCUUGGAUAUUUUUUUAAGAUCACAUAAAUAGGUUUUGUUUAAUUACUAUUUAUUUGCUGCAGGUUAACCUUCAAAUACACUUAUUUUUAACUGCUUGCAAAAAAUGCCUUUGUCCACUGCUAAAGUAGAGGAAGACAAUUACACUGCAACAGAAUUAAGAGAAUCAUGCAGUGGCUGUAUUAUUUUGAGCUACUGUUGCACACACGUAUGUGUAAAAUGAAUGUGGACAGAAUUCAUACUGCCUGAACAAAAUUUGUAUGUAUUGAGCAGUGUGAACUCCCCAGUUGGGGAGAGCCUUUCAGUGCCAGAACGUGACAGGAAGGAGAAGCUGCUCCUGGCAGAGACACAUGAUGAAAUUAAUUCCCCUUCAUUGAGCUCAUCUUACUGGUAAGGGGAGGCACUGUAAGAGUAACUGUUAAGAGGCCCUGCUAAGAACAUCAGUGAGCUCAGCAUACUAUGCUUUUCAGCUUUUGUGAUUUUAUUAGAUAUCUGGAUGAGGUAACCUCUUGAAAUAGCUGAGAGGAAGAGACAGGAAAAAAGAUGCUAUUUGCCUUACAUCAUCCUGCUAAAGAAAUCGUAUAGAGUCUUGCUAACACCAAGAGGUUAAUUUUGAGUUGCUGUUUUCUUUAUCAAACAGGAUGUGUUAAAAAUU